GACGAACGCUGGCGGCGUGCUUAACACAUGCAAGUCGAACGCUGAAGCACCAGCUUGCUGGUGUGGAUGAGUGGCGAACGGGUGAGUAAUACGUGAGUAACCUGCCCCUGACUCUGGGAUAAGCCCGGGAAACUGGGUCUAAUACUGGAUGCUACAUGUCACCGCAUGGUGGUGUGUGGAAAGGGUUUACUUGUCUUGGAUGGGGUCACGGCCUAUCAGCUUGUUGGUGAGGUAAUGGCUCACCAAGGCGACGACGGGUAGCCGCACUGGGAAGGUGACCGGCCACACUAGCACGGAGACACGGCCCCGACUCCGACGGGGGGGAGAAGUGGGGAAUAUUGUACAAUGGGCGAAAGCCAGAUGCAGCGGCGACGCGGUAGGGAUGACGGUCUUCGGGUUGAAGACCUCUUCCAGCAGGGAAGAAGCCACCAGUGACGGUACCUGCAGAAGAAGCGCCGGCUAACUACGUG
rnacentral:rRNA from 1 species